rnacentral:rRNA from 1 species
UACGUAGGGGGCAAGCGUUGUCCGGAUUUAUUAGGCGUAAAGAGCGUGUAGGCGGUUCGGCAGGUCCGUUGUGAAAACUCGAGGCUCAACCUCGAGACGCCGAUGGAAACCCCCGAACUAGAGUCCGGAAGAGGAGAAUGGAAUUCCUGGUGUAGCGGUGAAAUGCGCAGAUAUCAGGAAGAACACCCGUGGCUAAGGCGGUUCUCUAGUACGGUACUGACGCUGAGACGCGAAAGCGUGGGGAGCGAACAGG